GUGGCAGACGAUCGCUGGCCUGAAAUGUUUCUCGCCAGAGGAAAGUCCGAACACCCGAGGGCGGCAUGCCUUGUGAAAGCGAGGGUACCCGGGAUCCAAAUCCCGAGUAACGGAUAGUGUCACAGAAAAUAGACCGCCCAGCACGGUCAGUUGCCAGUGGUCAGUAUCAAUCGCCGGUCACACUGACCACUGCCACCUGGUCGUGUUGGGUAAGGGUGAAAAGGCGGGGUAAGAGCCCACCGGAUCGUCCGCGUAAGCGGGAUCGCACGAAAAACCCCAUGUGGUGCAAGACAAAGCAGAGGGAAGAGUGGCCCGCUCGUCCUUUUCGCGAAAGCGGGAAGGAUCCCUCGGGUAUUAGUCGCAUCCGGCAUUUUAUGCCGGGCACUCAGGAAACCGAGUGAGAUAAAUGAUCGUCAUUGCGCGAAAGCGGAAAACAGAAUUCGGCUUAUGCCAUUCAA
rnacentral:RNase_P_RNA from 1 species